rnacentral:rRNA from 1 species
UGGGGAAUUUUGGACAAUGGGCGAAAGCCUGAUCCAGCAAUGCCGCGUGUGUGAAGAAGGCCUUCGGGUUGUAAAGCACUUUUAGUAGGGAAGAAGCGAAAGUGACGGUACCUGCAGAAAAAGCACCGGCUAACUACGUGCCAGCAGCCGCGGUAAUACGUAGGGUGCGAGCGUUGUCCGGAAUUAUUGGGCGUAAAGAGCUCGUAGGCGGUCUGUCGCGUCUGCUGUGAAAACCCGAGGCUCAACCUCGGGCCUGCAGUGGGUACGGGCAGACUAGAGUGCGGUAGGGGGAGAAUGGAAUUCCUGAUGUAGCGGUGGAAUGCGCAGAUAUCAGGAGGAACACCGAUGGCGAAGGCAGUUCUCUGGGCCGUAACUGACGCUGAGGAGCGAAACGCGUGGGGAGCGAACAGGAUUAGAUACCCUGGUAGUCCACGCCGUAAAACGUUGGGCGCUAGAUGUGGGGACCAUUCCACGGUUUCCGUGUCGCAGCUAACGCAUUAAGCG